rnacentral:hammerhead_ribozyme from 1 species
AUCCAGCUGAUGAGUCUAAAAAUGGAACGAAAUGCGCGUCCUGGAU